CUGUCGAAGGAAACGUUGAAAGUAAGCAAGUUCAAAUCAGCAAGUUGGAGGCCACGGUAAAGUCCCUGUCGGAGGAGCUCAUCAAGGCGAACGGCAUCAUCAAGAAGCUCCAGGGGGAUCUGAAGGCGCUGAUGGGGAAGAUCAAGGUGAAGAACACAGUGACGGUGUCUCAAGAAAAGAUCCUGCAGGAAACUACAGAGAAACUGCAGCGGGGGCAGCGAGAGCUGCAGGACACCCAACAACAGCUCCGACAGAAAGAGGAAGAGGUAAUGAAAUUAAAGGAACAAUUCGAAGCUACAGUUCAGAAACUGGACGAGAGCAGGGAAGUGUUAAAAACCAAUGAGAACG